GGGCGCGAGCGCGGCUGGCUCCGGCUCCGGGAGCGCGCUGGGGACGCGCGUGCGCGGCUGAGGGGCGGGGCAACGCUUGCGCGGGUACGCCGGGCCGGCCCCGCCCAGCAACUUUAAAGGCUCGGUUCCAUUGGCCAAUAAGACACGCCGGAGCAGCCCGGAGCUUUACUCCGCUUCGGGGUGCGAGAGGAGCGGCGGGCGGGAGAGCUGGACAGAGGCGCCUCGGGAGACGUGCGACCCCACCGAACGGACUUCAAUGUCGCCCAGGCAAGUGUGUACCUGUGCACCACAUGCAUGCAGUACCAAAGAAUUCCAGAGAGGGCGCCAGAUGUCCUUCAACUGUAAGACUGCCCUUAGCCACCAUACUUCAUACUACAAAAAAACCCAGAAGUUUCUUCAAAAGCAACAAGCACUCUUAACUGGUGAACUGUCUCUCCAGUCCCCCAUUUAUCUAUUUUUUAAGCAUUUAGCCACUGGCUCUAGGGAGCGUUGGAUCCUUCUGUCUUUCUCCACAGCUCAACAAGCUGAACAGGGGUAUAAACCCUGCAUGUUGACCCAGUGAAACAAAAUACCUAGCAGGUAAAAUGGAACUUCUUAGUAAGAAACAGUGGUCAGCUAAUGGCAAACUACAGUCGAUCAAGAGCCAAACCCUAUGAAAUUGCAUGAAAAAAAAAAAAAAAAAGUCACCUGCAGCGGUAUAAUUAGGCCAGGAAGGAAGAUCCCAAGUAACUCCAAACAGUAAAAUGUGUAAAUGAAA